GUUGAAGGAUUUGGAAAAUUCCGCUAAAGAGGGUGAAAGCCCCGUAGACGAAAUGCUAACAACACCUAGGAGGAUCCUGAGUACGGCGGAACACGAGAAAUUCCGUCGGAAUCCGCGGGGACCAUCCCGCAAGGCUAAAUACUCCCUAGUGACCGAUAGUGAACCAGUACCGUGAGGGAAAGGUGAAAAGCACCCCGGAAGGGGAGUGAAAUAGAUCCUGAAACCGUGUGCCUACAACAAGUCAAAGCUCGUUAAUGAGUGAUGGCGUGCCUUUUGUAGAAUGAACCGGCGAGUUACGAUUGCAUGCGAGGUUAAGUCGAAGAGACGGAGCCGCAGCGAAAGCGAGUCUGAAUAGGGCGAAUGAGUAUGUAGUCGUAGACCCGAAACCAUGUGAUCUACCCAUGUCCAGGUUGAAGGUGCGGUAAAACGCACUGGAGGACCGAACCCACGUACGUUGAAAAGUGCGGGGAUGAGGUGUGGGUAGCGGAGAAAUUCCAAACGAACUUGGAGAUAGCUGGUUCUCUCCGAAAUAGCUUUAGGGCUAGCCUCGGAAUUGAGAAUGAUGGAGGUAGAGCACUGUUUGGACUAGGGGCCCAUCUCGGGUUACCGAAUUCAGAUAAACUCCGAAUGCCAUUCAUUUAUAUCCGGGAGUCAGACUGCGAGUGAUAAGAUCCGUAGUCGAAAGGGAAACAGCCCAGACCACCAGCUAAGGUCCCAAAAUAUAUGUUAAGUGGAAAAGGAUGUGGGGUUGCACAGACAACUAGGAUGUUGGCUUAGAAGCAGCCACCAUUUAAAGAGUGCGUAAUAGCUCACUAGUCGAGUGACCCUGCGCCGAAAAUGUACCGGGGCUAAACAUAUUACCGAAGCUGUGGACUACACCAUUAGGUGUAGUGGUAGGAGAGCGUUCUAAGGGCGUUGAAGGUCGAUCGUGAGGACGGCUGGAGCGCUUAGAAGUGAGAAUGCCGGUAUGAGUAGCGAAAGACAGGUGAGAAUCCUGUCCACCGUAUGACUAAGGUUUCCUGGGGAAGGCUCGUCCGCCCAGGGUUAGUCGGGACCUAAGCCGAGGCCGAUAGGCGUAGGCGAUGGACAACAGGUUGAUAUUCCUGUACCAGUUGUUUUUGUUUGAGCAAUGGAGGGACGCAGUAGGCUAAGGAAUGCAUGCGAUUGGAAGUGCAUGUCCAAGCAAUGAGUCUUGAGUAGAGUUAAAUGCUUUACUCUUUAAGGACAAGUUGUGACGGGGAGCGAAAUAAUAGUAGCGAAGUUCCUGAUGUCACACUGCCAAGAAAAGCUUCUAGUGAGAAAACAACUGCCCGUACCGUAAACCGACACAGGUAGUCGAGGAGAGUAUCCUAAGGUGAGCGAGCGAACUCUCGUUAAGGAACUCGGCAAAAUGACCCCGUAACUUCGGGAGAAGGGGUGCUGACUUCGGUCAGCCGCAGUGAAUAGGCCCAAGCGACUGUUUAUCAAAAACACAGGUCUCUGCAAAAUCGUAAGAUGAAGUAUAGGGGCUGACGCCUGCCCGGUGCUGGAAGGUUAAGAGGAUGGGUUAGCUUCGGCGAAGCUCAGAAUUGAAGCCCCAGUAAACGGCGGCCGUAACUAUAACGGUCCUAAGGUAGCGAAAUUCCUUGUCGGGUAAGUUCC
rnacentral:rRNA from 1 species